GGCGAGGUAGCUCAGUCGGUAGAGCGCGGCCCUGAAAAGGCCGGCGUCGGCGGUUCGAUUCCGUCCCUCGCCACCA
rnacentral:tRNA from 1 species